rnacentral:rRNA from 1 species
AACGAACGCUGGCGGCAUGCCUAACACAUGCAAGUCGAACGAGACCUUCGGGUCUACUGGCGCACGCGUGCGCAACGCGUGGGAACCUGCCCUUAGGUCCGCAAUAACUCCCCGAAAGGGGUGCUAAAACCGGAUAAUGUCUUCCAUCCAACGAUUGAUCGAGAUUGGAUGGGCCUGCGUUGGCUUACCUAGUUGUUAGGGUAAAAGCCACCCACGGCGACGAUCCAUAGCUGGUUAGUGAGGAUGAUCAGCGACACUGGUAGUGAGACACGGCCGAGAAUCUUACGGGAGGCAGCAGUGGCGGAUACUGGACAAUCGGCGGAGGGCUGAUGCACCAAUGAUGGGUGAGUGCUGAAGGUUGUGGGGUAGUAAAGUUAGUUUACCCGGGGUGAUAUUGACGGUACCGGGAGAAUAAGCACCGGCUAACUCCGUG